rnacentral:misc_RNA from 1 species
GGAAGUAAAAGUCGUAACAAGGUUUCCGUAGGUGAACCUGCGGAAGGAUCAUUAAAAAAUUGGACUCCAUUGGUGAGUUCAUUAAUAAUCCCUACCCUUUGUGAAUUUGUUUGUUUGAAUAAUUUUUUUUCCAAAAAAAAUUAUUGAAUGUCUUUCCUUGUUUUGGUGGAGCUUGUAAAGUGAAACCAGGCAGGGGAAUGGCAAACAAUAAUUAUUUUUGAAAAAGACCUUUUUUUAAAAUUAAACUUUUUGUAUUCAUUUGUCUAAAAUUAAUUUUUAUAAUAUAAAAACAACUUUUGACAAUGGAUCUCUUGGUUCUCGCAACGAUGAAGAACGCAGCAAAAUGCGAUAAGUAGUGUGAAUUGCAGAAUACGUGAAUCAUCGAAUCUUCGAACGCAUAUUGCACUUUUUUAGUUUACUAAAAAAGUAUGUCUGUUUGAGUAUCAGUAAAAUAUUCUCAUAAAAAACAUUGUUUUUUUUAUGGUUAUGAGUGUUUUACAACGAUAACAAGUUGUUUCACUUUAAUUCUUUGUUAUCAAAAAAAUCAUUAAAAGCUAAUUUUAAAGAUUUUUUAAAAUUGGAUAAAAUUUUCCCGUAAAAAGGAAUAACCUAAACAAUUUUAAAAAAUUAAAAUUGGUUUGAUUUUUUUUGAAACCCAAAGGAAAAAAAAACGAAAUUAACUUGAUCUCAAAUCAGAUAAGAGUACCCGCUGAACUUAAGCAUAUCAAUAAGCGGAGGAAAAGAAACUAACUAGGAUUCCCUCAGUAACGGCAAGUGAAGCGGGAAGAGCUCAAAUUUGAAAUCUUCAAGGUUUUACCUUGACGAAUUGUAGUUUAAAGAAGUGUUUUCUGUUGGAGUUUUGGUAAAAGUUCUUUGGAAAAGGACAUCAUAGAGGGUGAGAAUCCCGUAUUUGACCAUUAUCUCCAGCUUUGUGAUACACUUUCAAAGAGUCGGAUUGUUUGGGAAUGCAGUCCAAAAUGGGUGGUAAAUUUCAUCUAAAGCUAAAUACUGGCGAGAGACCGAUAGCGAACAAGUACCGUGAGGGAAAGAUGAAAAGAACUUUGAAAAGAGAGUUAAACAGUACGUGAAAUUGUCAAAAGGGAAGCGUUUGACACCAGUGUUGUUUUCUCGAAAAUCAAUUAAAAAAGGCCGGAUUUUGUGUUGUAUUGACUUUAUCAGCUUUCUGCACUCUUUUCUUGUCUUUUUUAAUGCACUUUUCGUUUAACAAGUCAACAUCAAUUUCUUUUGUUGUAAAAGGGUCAUUGGAAGGUGGCUUUCUUUUCGGAGAAAGUGUUUAUAGCCUUUGGCCUCUGCAAUCGGAGAGAUUGAGGUCUGCAGCGUAGAUCCUUCGGGGUUAGAUACAUUUGUGCUAAGUUAUAGCCUUUCAUAGACAACUUGUUGACU